CCACCUUUUGUCUUUCCUAACAGAGGUCUUCUUCAUCUUCCUUCGGUCCCCUAUCUCUCUUCAGUCCCCCUUCUCCCAAAUCUCUCUCUUGAUAGAAUUUCUUCGUUGAUGCAUCAGUUAUUCUGUCAGGUCUGCUUAUCUCUCACCAGCUUCUGAACCUUCAAAUCGACGAAGGUCUCAUUAAAUUCUACUAUGCCGUUCUUCCUCACAUUAUUGGCGCUGGUUAUGGUGAUUCUUAGAUCAUUCCGCCUCUUCCAUGACGAUGUUCAAAUUCCGAAGCCCGUGGCUACUUUUAUCAUCCUGAUCGAUUGUGUUGCUGAUAAACUUCAUCACUGUAGCGAAGUUGUUGCGACAAUGCCUAAGGAGAAUAUUCGUGCAAGAGAGCCAUUUACUUCCCCGCUUUAUUUGUGAUUUGUAUGUAAACAACCACUGGAUAAGACUGAUCACAACUUGCAGAUGGUUGUGUUAGACGUUGUCCAAAAGCAUACCACCGAAGAUUUUUACCUUGAUCUACAAAAGUUAUCAAUGGAGCUUCAAAAGAAGAAAUCUGCAUGUUUAAAGCGCCUUCAACAUGGCUGCUAUUGUACCAUGUUAUGGUGGAUUGUGAAGUAGAAGAAGAUGACAGACUUCUUGAUUCUAAUACUAUAGGGAAAAUGUUCUCACGCUCCCAGCAGGAUCAGAAUAUCGCUGCUAAAGUAGUCGAGUUCACAUCAAAUUUUCAGACACAGGCACUGGCCUUCAAUAUAAUAAAUCGAAAGCGAGCCUUGGGGGAAUUUCUCUAUGAGGAGAGUUCACGAAGAAAAACGAGAAAUUAUUGAAGUACCGGCGGAAAUUGUGUCAAGGGCUGGCAAGGAGGUUCGCGAGGCUAAGAUGCGGAUGUCAGCCAUGCAGGCUGAGAAACCCCGAGCUGUAUCGCAGGCACGAGUUGAUGGCUCGAGCUUCAAUUAGAGUCAAUUCUCUUGGAUCAGAUGGAAAUGAUGCUUCAAUAAAUCAUCAGCUAACCUGACCAGGAGCAAGGGGUUUUUGAAUGAUGAGGAGGCAGAAAAUGGAGACACGGGAAUGCAAGAAGACAUUGCCUAAAAGUGGGGAAUUUGAUCAGGAUUCUAGAUGAUCUGUAGGCUGUAGGCAGUGGUAGUUCUGGGAGCUGAAAUAUAUAUGGAGUAUACUUUGUCUAGUGAUAUUUGGAAUUCUUUGUUUCCGGUUCUGGCUAUAUGAUAAUUUAGAAUACUUUUAUUUGUUAAACUGGUUUAUGUUAGCUUGCUUUGUAGUAUGAUUUAUUGGUUCAAAUUUAUAAUUGGAAUUCCAAACUGAUUGCAGCGGCCUA